ACAGGUGCCUGUGUAGGCAGUUUCAGAAUCUUCUGUGCUCGGGAGGAAAGAAGCUAAGCCAUAAGAGACGUAGCUUGCCUGGGUGAUGGUUCAGGUUCUGAUGGAUAGGACCAUGGGGACACCUUCUGGACCUUUCUUCCUGUUCCUGUGGCUGCAGUUGCACUGUGUGAGUGGAGCAGAGCAGGUGGAGCAGAGCCCUGCUUUCCUGAGUGUCCGGGAGGGAGACGACUGUGUCAUCAACUGCACGUACACAGACAGUGUCACCACCUACUUCUAUUGGUAUAAGCAAGAACCCGGAGAAGGCCUCCAGUUGCUUAUAAACAUUCUCUCAAGUAUGGACAAGAAAGAAGACCAAAGGUUCACUGUGCUCAUGAAGAAGAAGGAGAAGCAGGUCUCCUUGCACAUCUCAGCUGCCCACGUUGCCGACUCAGCCACCUACUUCUGUGCAGCAAGUGCACAGUGCUCCCCCUGCACCUGCAGCCUGUACCCAAACCUGCACGAGGGCUGAAGACAUACUUAUUUCUGUCCUUUGAGUGAAGGAUUGACCUGUGUUUGACUUUUAUUUGUGUAGUUCAAAAAAUGCCCUUCUUGAAAGUCAGCUUCAAAGCCACCCAGUGAAUUUGAGAAUGUUUUUGGUGAGCCUCUGAGCACAGUUUCUGAUAUCUAGUUGAAGUCUAAGACUGUAGGAUUGACUUAGCGGUGAUAUUUCUACACCCUGAUGUCAAAGUCAGAGAAUUCUGUUCUUGGUGAAAGGAUUUAUAUCUUUUUUUAAAACAUAGGAUGCAUUGAUCAUGUCUGGUGAUAAAAUUAUUCAGUGUGGGGUGUGGGAAAUACAGUAAAUGGAAGGUGCACAAUUAGGUCGUCUUGGGUCUGGUGCAAUGGCUUGAUUGAAUAAUCAUUCCUCUUCUAGCGCAAGGAUCUUACAUGGGAACUGGUUUGUGUCCUGGCUGCUCUACUUCCCAUCCAGCUUGUUUUUUGUGGCCUGGGAAAGCAGUAAAGGAUGGCAGAAGGCCUUGGGAAUCAUGACCCAAAUGAAAUGUGUAAGAAGCUCCUCGUUCCUAAUUUCAUUUGCAUCAGCAUGGCCAUUGUGGCCACUUGUGGAGUGA